AUUUCUGUAGCGCAAUGGAUAGCGCAUUGAACAUCUAAUCCAAAGGUCGUAGGCUUGAAUCUCACCUGGGAUG